ACGCUCGACACCUACGGGGGGCAGCAGUGGGGAAUAUUGCACAAUGGGGGAAACCCUGAUGCAGCGACGCCGCGUGAGGGAAGAAGGUUUUCGGAUUGUAAACCUCUGUCCUUGGUGAAGAAAGCAGACGGUAGCCAAGGAGGAAGCCACGGCUAACUACGNGCAGCAGCCGCGGUAAUCUGAGCGGGCUGGCAAGGC
rnacentral:rRNA from 1 species